AAAGAAGAAUGCGUUCAGUAAGCGUCUGUUCAAGAAGAACUGAUUAGUGUGUCGGUGUUCAGUUUGACUGACUGUGCGUGCAACCAUUUUACGUCAUCGAAGAAGAACAUGGCGGCCUCCUCAGGUUUGGAAGAACAUGGGAUGAGGGUGGUCUGGUUGCUAGAUGUGGUAUUACAAACGAAGUCUUCGGAAACAGAAGCUGGGAUGUGUUGGAGAGUUUUUAUGAGACCGGUGAGUCAGACGUGAUGAUUGAAAACAGAACUGGAUGGAGGAUGUAACCCUGAAGAGCGCCAGACCGUGUUCUGAGUUUCACCGCUUGUGGUUUGGUCUGAUGAGAAAAUCCAGUAUCCAGUAACCGAUGCAGCUGCACAGGCUCGGCCGCACACAUUUCCAGAGCUCUUAAGAGGAAAACCAUCGCUGAAGCGCACAGCUAAAGAGAUGCCCCAGCGGUUCCAAACCAGUGAAGACUAACACGUGGCAGUCGCCCAAGCUCCAGGAGGUCCGACCCAGCACAAGCGGGUGCCAGGCCAGCUCAGGAAGACGGGAGGGUGUCUGGCACAAAACAAAAGCAGUCAUGCCCCUGCGCCUAAGAUAAGAUCCACUCUCUAAUCAUCACACAUUCGCAUCCUUGCGUGCUGUCUCGCAGCUGCACUGUUGUAAAUGCAUACACACACACACAUACUUGAAAUAGAAACACACAUCUACUCGUGCUAAAACACAUACAAGACAUUUAGACUAAGUGAUGAUUUAAAUGACAUGUGUUGCAUUGGAUUUUUUAACAACUAAACUGCAGUUAAAGUGAUAGUUCACACAAAAAAUUAAAAUUCAUCAUUCACUCCCUCUUGUCAUUUCAAACCGUAUGACUUUCCUUCUUCCGCAGAACACAGAAGAAGAUAUUUUGAAGAAAGUUGAUAGCCAAACAUUGCUGGUUCCCAUUUACCAUUAUACUAUGCAAGUCAAUGGGUGCCAGUUACCAACAUUCUUUUUUCAUUUUUGGGUGAACUGUUACUUUAAGUAAAAACGGCAACUUGUCGUGGAAACUGUUACUUUUGACGCUCUAUCGCCAUCUCUGUUGAAACAUAAAAUUGCAGGUUACUUCACGUCUGUUUUGUCGCACCUGAGCUGAAUAUGUAAAUCAUCAUUUUAAGUAAAGGAGAGAGGGAGAUGGUUUUAAUCACAGAUUUUUUAUGUACUUACUCAAUUAAAAAAAAAUGUAGACUUUAAUCACAGUAAAGUCAUUCUUUUGAGAAUGUAGUUACAAACUAAAACGUCUACAGUGAUAAUUAAAGGGCCAGUACCUUCUAGUUUUUAUUAUAUUUAAUUGUGUUACAUUUAUUAUUUUAUUCUAUUUUAUUCAGAGCAAAAUGUAAUUUAUUUUGUACAAAACAAAGAGGGUUUUCAAGUUAUCACCUCUAUUUUAAAGUUCCAAACUGCAUAAAUGUGUAUAAUAAUAUGUUUGGUACUCCCCAACACUGCCGCCAUUGUGUUUAACUUCAGAAUGUUUGCUCUUUGGUUGUUAACUCAAACUCGCACAUCAACAGUUUGCUUCUCUGUCUAUUUACGUUUAAUAGCAACUAUUUCUAGAAGAGAAAAGUUGCCCUGUCUACAGACCUCCUGUACGGAUUCCUUCGAUGGAGGUCCUGGAUGCAGGAGAUUUCGCCUUUGCUCUUCUGAUACUCCAUCUGUGCUGAUGUUUAUCUGCGUGUCUUUUUUUGCAUAAUCAGAGUGCAACAGAUGCCCAAACAAGUCAGAGCAGAACAACUUGGGAGGCGUCGAGGUUACCCCUCUUUCAUCCGGAAUUUCACAUAGACAUAGCCUGGAAUAUUUCAAUUCCCAUUCCGAUGCCACAUGGAAGACACAUUAGCCAAUUGACCUCUAACCCGCUGUGGGUUUCUCGGUGUGUGUGCUCGAGCGAGGCACAAAAAUAAACAUUUGUAUGCACAAGCAUGCAGAGUUACAGGCAUUUAGACGCAAGCGCAUGCAUUCGGGUCAUUAAAGCAGAAUUCCGGUUGUUGUUCCAGAGGUUCGACUGACAACAUCUGCAGAUCCAACAACACAAAUAAAACAAACGCUGGUGUAGGGAAUGUACCACUGUCCUGUUUCUCAAACUCUUUUGGCUUUUGAAUCAGAUGUGAUGUACAGAAGUGGCCAAAAAUGAUAUCCGGAGGGUGUAUUUGUUUUCAACAUUUGCUUUUAAUGACCCCUGAGGUUAAAGUUAGCCAUCAAAAUAUGUGUAUAAUAAAGAAUGGAAAAAAAUACAACUUGGUAAAUUUGAAAAAAAAAUAUGAUUUAAUAAAAAAAGAUGGACAUCAAAUUUGGACACUACUAUUCAUCUCUUGUAUUUUUUAAAUAUUUUUUAAAGUUGCCACGAUGCUAGGGUGAUGUGGAUGGUUGCUAAGACAUGGUAAAUUGGUUGCUAAGGUGUUCUAGAUGUUUUAAACAUGUUGCUAAAGCAUUGCUUUGUUUCUGUGAUGGUCUAAAGUCAAAAUAACCCAAAUGUAGUCCCUUUUGUGAAAAAAUCCACUUUACAAAUGAAUGAAAACUUUGUGUUAUAAUGAAUGAUUUGACAACAAUGUGUCUUGUAAUAGUCACAAUACAGGUGUGACUUUCACAGUUUAUUUCUUCAAAAUUCUUACAUGGAUCACAAAUGCGAUUAUCUUAAAGAAUUAGAAAUGAUGGACAUGUGUUUGGCGGGAAGAAAGGGUUUCUGUAAUAAUGUGGGUUUAGCAGUUUGGACAAUGGAAAUCUUCUUGAAAAAUCUCAUCACAGCACAUUUUCGUUUGCUUGGAGUUCCUUCACUUCGGCUCAGAGACAUUCCCCGUGUGAGAACACAAAGACCAGAUCCUUGACUUUAUCAUUAAUCUCUGUAGAUAUGUGAGCAAACGCCUAGAAAAGAACCCCUUUGGCGCGUUUGCUAGCGCUCUCCUCCUUUCUUUGCCUUUUACUCUCGUCCUUCAACGUUUGCUGGCCGCUUUGGAGAUAAGGCUUGUUGCCGGGAGGUUGAGAAGAUUAGACGCCUCUGAAGUUUGCAUUUCUCUCGUCUGGUAGCAGAUCGGGACAUGAGUGUGGCUCGAUAUCCAAAGCAUCUCACUUUCAACACUUUACCGUGCAAUGAUCUGUGACCGACUCACCCAAGCUUAACUUAGCUCAGUGUGUUAAUAAAUACCCCAAAACAGACCUCGUAUCUCCAUAAGACAUCAAUUUAACACUGUAUUCUAUAGGUUUGAGAUAAAAAGUUUAAC